UACGAAGGGUGCAAGCGUUGUCCGGAAUUACUGGGCGUAAAGAGCUCGUAGGCGGUUCGUCGCGUCGGCUGUGAAAACCUGAGGCUCAACCUCAGGCCUGCAGUCGAUACGGGCGGACUUGAGUACUGCAGGGGAGACUGGAAUUCCUGGUGUAGCGGUGAAAUGCGCAGAUAUCAGGAGGAACACCGGUGGCGAAGGCGGGUCUCUGGGCAGUAACUGACGCUGAGGAGCGAAAGCGUGGGGAGCGAUCAGG
rnacentral:rRNA from 1 species